GAAAUAUCAAAAAUAAAGCUUCUAACUUUAUAAAAAGAUUUAAAAUAAAUCUAUAUUUCU
rnacentral:tRNA from 1 species